rnacentral:rRNA from 1 species
CGGUAAACAGAGGGAAGCGAGCCUGCGAGGGGGAGCGAAUCCCAAAAAUAACGUCCCAGUUCGGAUUGUAGUCUGCAACCCGACUACAUGAAGCUGGAAUCGCUAGUAAUCGCGGAUCAGAAUGCCGCGGUGAAUACGUUCCCGGGUCUUGUACACACCGCCCGUCACACCAUGGGAGUCGGAAAUGCCCGAAGUCUGUGACCCAACCUUAGGGAGGGAGCAGCCGAAGGCAGGUCGGAUGACUGGGGUGAAGUCGUAACAAGGUAUC